GGAUGGUUCGGGUCUUGAAAAUGAAGAUUCUUCCAAUACAACCGAGGUUUAUGAUAUUUUGCAGGAAAUGAAGAGCAUAGAUCCUCUACUGAAGCCCAUAGCAACGCCAAAGAAGGAAGAGCUUCCCCCUAAGAUUGCAUUCACUGCUGCACUGGACGUGCUGCCGUCAAAAGAGCUGCCAAAGAGCAACAACGCCAGUACUAGUAAGU